UCGGGAGGAAGUAACUCGCCGCACUACUGCAGGGGAAACUAGCUGCUCGAGGAAAGCUGUGGCAGCCUGUCUUCACAGGAGAGGUGCUCCAGUCCUCUGAUCAUCUUUGUGGCCCUCCUCUGGACUUGUUCAAGCAGAUCCAUGUCCUUCUUGUGCUGGGGGCCUCAGACCUGGACAGAGUACUGCAGGUUUGGCUGCUACCAGUUAUUUCACCUUUUAUCAACUACAAGCAGCAUGAACCUAACAAUGAAGAAUGAUGCAAAUAUAAUGAUCCUAUUGAUUGCAGUAGAGAUUCAUUCUUUGAGAGAAAUUGAAUGCACCUACUGAAACAGAAGCAACUUAGGUCUAGAAGUCCACAGCUGAUACUGGAAGGAAAGGUGACCUAGCAUAGGCAAAGGUUUACAGGAAUCAAAAGGAGAGAACCAUGUUUGUUUUUUCCAGUUUGCCAAUACUGUCUCAAGUGAACCUGCACUAGCCAUUGCGGGGAUCCCAGUGGAGGUAGCACAUGCCUACAGAUCUUCUCGACACAAACUUAACUUGAAAAGGAGGAGUCUGGGGGUAGAGGGACUGAGGAGGGCAUGAUCAUAAAUUAUUUGUAUGUAGCUUCACAGCAGGGUCAGGAUUCCAAGAACACCAUAAAAUCCUGGCUUUUCUUGACUUCCAGGCAUUAAAGCCUCUAAAUAGU